UGAAUUAUGUUUUAAUAUAGACUGAAGUCCUUUAAAAAUAUCUUUUGUUUGUUCUGCAGGAGCACUUCAAAGCAGAUUGAUGGCAGGAUGGAAUACAGCUUCCAGGACGGAGAUGUCAUACAACCAGUCAGCUUCCUCAAUGAGCUACGUCUACCAACCACGACAACAGUCUUUCCAGAAUAUUAUUAUUAUUAUUAUUAUUAUUAGCUGUGUAUUUUUCAUGAAUUAUGUUUCAAUAUGGACUGAAGCCCUUCAACAAUAUCUUUUGUUUGUUCUGCAGGAGCGCUUCAAAGCAGAUUAAUGGCAGGAUGGAAUACAGCUUCCAGGACGGAGAUGUCAUACAACCAGUCAGCUUCCUCAAUGAGCUACGUCUACCAACCACUACAACAGUCUUUCCAGAAACAACAUUUGGUUUCUCUGUGACUCCUUCAAUCCUCAAGUAAGUGUUGGAUUUCAAUUUUGAGAACAAUCAAAAUUGGAGAAGGAAUUUUAUUGCAAAAAUUGGAUGUACAUUAAACAAAAGUGGUUAUAUUUACAGAUCUGGUUCAGGAGUGGUCACAAGCAAGCUGGUGUUCAACUCCUCAUCUCCAAUCCCCAGUGAAUCUCUGGUCCUCAGUGCAAUCAAAACUCUCCGUAAUUCCAGAGAGUCACAGCUCAAUGAAUCGGUGAAGGUGGUGAAUGUCACCUAUAAGAAAAUCUCAGAAACCUCCUAUGCUGUGGUCUUUACAUUUAACGUGAUUAACAUCAGUAUGCCAGAGGACCCUGCGUCUAGAGGCAACACCAACCAGCAAGUUCAGGAUAUCAUUAAUAAUGCGCUGAACACUCUUCUGAAUGAACCUGGUAGUCCAAAUUUGCAACCCAAGUCCUCCAACUUCACGAGCACUUCAAAGCAGAUUGAUGGCAGGAUGGAAUACACCUUCCAGGAUGGAGAUGUCAUACAACCAGUCAGCUUCCUCAAUGAGCUUCGCUCACAGACAGUCUUAACGACAGCCAGCACUCUGACAACUACUCCACCGAUAGUGCUUGGCAGAGCGCUUAUAUUCAUUCGCCUCGUGUUUGUCACACUGGGCCCCCUGCCAAAUCCAGAGAAGGUUCUUGAGGUGGCCAACACUCUGCUGAACACGCGUCUCACAACUAAACAAGACACCAAAACACAAGCCCUGAGUGAUCCUGUGAGCUUUGUCAAUGUCACAUAUACAAAAAUAAAUGAGACGGCCUAUGCUCUCGACUUUGGAUUUGAAAUCAGCAAUAUAACCAUGUCUGAGAAGCUUGAACUCAGGGAUGGCACCCACCUGACAAUACAAGACUCUAUAAACACAUUGCUGGGCAAGAUGCUCCUCAGUAACUCCUCAGCUCCUCUCAUUAAGUUCCAACCAGCUGAUUUCACGGGUAAUUCCACAGUAAUUAAGGCCAAUGUAGAGUAUGUUUUCUCACCAAGUGACAUCACGAAACCCAGCAUCUUUGUUCAGGAACUUCUCCAACUUGACGGAGCGAGCAUUCUGACAACCACAACUUCACCACCGAUCUUGACUAGGAGGGGAAUUAUUAAGAUUCGUCUCGAGUUUAUCACACUGGGCCCAAGACCAAGUGAGAGUAAUGUUCUACAGGUGGUUAAAUCUAUGCUGGCCUCAAAUCUCACAACUAAACUAACCACGAGAGUAACAAGCAUGAGUGAACCUCUGUCCUUGGAGAAUGUUGAGUAUUUGGGUAUUAAUGACACCGCCUACGCACUCAUUUUUGCAUUUGAAAUAAACAAAGUAUCACUGACAGAGAUAAAUAGGAAAGAAGCCUAUCAAGAAAUCCAAAAGAAGAUAAAUGAUUUGGUGAUCCAGAUACUAAAGGACCCCUCGGUUAAUCUGCUCAUUCCAGCCGAUUUCAAGGAUGAUCUCUUUGUGAUUCAGGCCAAUGUUACGUAUGUUUUCUCACAACGUGACAGCAACACGGCCUCCGGUUUCUUGGUCAGUGCCCUUUUCACGGCUUUUACCACACCAGUUCCAACCACCAUGAACGCUACAACCUCCAACAAUGGUACAAACGUAGCAUGGAUUGUGGCUAUCAUUGUCCCCUGCGCUAUUGUCAUCGGGCUCGUACCUUGCUGGAUUCUCCUUUGCUGUUUGCUGUGUGGUUGCUGUGCAGCAAUCAGAAGACGUUGGCACAGAAGACAGUCGUACAAUGUGCAGUACACCACUCGAAACAGCCUCUUCUAGACAAUUCAGAGAUAUUUGACAAAAACAGGACUGAACACCAAUGACAACAUAAAAAUCAUGUAUUUUGGAUAUUCAAUAUGCUAUUCAAGACUGCUUCUUUUGUAGUAAUGAAAGUACUAUGUUAAUGCUUCUUUUAUAAAUUAUUUAUUUUAUUAUGCUAUAUAUAAACAGGUCCUCCAUAAAAUAUUCCUAAAUGUGAAAUUUUAAUACUUCCUAUAGUGUAUAAUGAAAUUGUAUUGUUGUUAUUUAUUUGUAUUUAUUUGUAAUAUUCUGUUUAUGUUUACAGUUAAUAAUCUUUUGCAAAUCAUUAGUCUGCUUGACACUACACAGUUUAAUUUAAAGGGACAAAAGGUAGAACAUUGGAAUUAGAGCUAUUAUUCAUUCAUGCUCCAUGCACUUUAACUUUAUAAAUGUAAAGCAAAUGUAAAGCAAGCACAUGAUGUAAAGGAAAUGCAAAAAAGCUAAUUUAUGUAAUUAAUUGGUAUGAACAUGUUAAACUGCAAAAAAAAAAAAAACUAAUAAAAAUACUAGAUCAAUAAAGAAUACAGAAAAAUACAGAGGUUUGUGUUUCUCGUUUCUCGCUUUUAAUGUUAGAUGUGCAACAACAUUGCAGUCAGUAGGCUGCUGUGGUUAGAGUAAAAUAAAUUGAAGUAAAAUUAAAUAAAAAAAAACUAGUUUUGCAAUAAUAAAUACAUAGUGGUAAUCAUUCAGGAAAAACAUGAAAAUAAAACUAAAAAAGCCCAGCAAUCAUAAAUGCAAUGAAUUGCAUUUAAAAUCUAUGCAUUUUAUGAUUUAUUUAUGUAAGGCAAGACACACCAGGGCUGUGUUCAGCAACUUCAGCCCCGACAAAAACGGUGCAAAACGUUUUUUUUUAAACGGAAACGGUGGUGCGUUGAGCACACUGUUCUGAUGACGCA
ensembl:lncRNA mucin-17-like